UGUAAAAUUUAAAUUGUAAAUAUUAUAUAAAUUAAAAUUUGAAAGAGAUAUUAUAAAACAUAACAUUUUCCAAAUGUUAUUUCACUGUUCUUAAGGUCACUUCCUAACAACAGUGUUGGCGGUGUGGGUUGAUAAAGAAGUAGUAUGUGGAGUGUGAGACUGAAAAAGGACUGCAUUCCAGGACUGCAUAUGGUAUGGGAUUGAAAAGGGAAGGUCGCAAGUUUUCUUUGACAUCUUCUCCAGUAUUCCCUCUUCCUCCACCUAAUAUUUCUCUUAACUUCUUUUUCUUUAAUGUUGUCUCCCAUUUCUCUCAGUCGACGAGUCCUUCAACCAACCACCGCAUUCUACCACUCAUGUCCUAUGUAUCGCCUUCAACCACCCACCUUUUGCUUCGAACCACCCCCAUCUAUUCAUCUUCACAUUUUCAUUGUUGCAAUCGGCGCUGGAAAUUUCUAGGGUUUCGAAAUAGAGUUGAAUUUGGGGUUUCUUUGUUCCUAUUUUGAAGAAAGGAAUAAACUGAAAACGAAGGAGGAUAACAAUGGGGAACUGAAACCAUUUCUGAUGAGCAUCAAGAAUUUUCUCACCAUACGUAUGUAAGAUCUUUCAUUCCCGUACAUGGUUGUUGAUUGAAGAAGAAAGUAAAGAAUAAAGAAAAGGAAAAGGGAAGAAUGGUUGGACUUAGGAGCUAUGUUACGGUGUGAUAUGAUUUUGAUAGACUAUGUGAUACCAUCUUUAUUCCUCAACUGCUACUCAAUGACCACCUCCAUAUCCGCCAGAUCUCAUCCCCACCACCGCCACCACUCUUCUAAGCAUCUGUUCUUAUAUCUUUCAAUUGUGCAACUCUGAAAUGGCACCCUAGAGUUAAAACUCUGCAGCGAUUGAUAAAAGCUACUGCAAUCAAUAGAAAUCAUCUCCUACUCUAAAUCUGAGACAAACCAGGUAUGUACUCUUUCUUUAUAACAAAGCAGGCACCAGUGACAAAGUUUUUUUUUUUAUUUAAGGUUAUCGAUCUUCUAGAAUAAUAACUGGAGUAUAUUAUGGAGAGGCAGUGAUCGCAAAAUGGCAUGAACGAAUUCAAAUCAGAAUCCUGGAUUGAAAUAUGAAUCCAACCUAUCUAUUUGGCGCCCGAUC